rnacentral:rRNA from 1 species
UACGUAGGGACCGAGCGUUGUCCGGAUUCAUUGGGCGUAAAGAGCUCGUAGGCGGCUGCUCAAGUCGAAUGUGAAAACUCGAGGCUCAACCUCGAGCCUGCAUUCGAUACUGGGCGGCUAGAGUCUGGUAGGGGGAUCUGGAAUUCCUGGUGUAGCGGUGAAAUGCGCAGAUAUCAGGAGGAACACCGGUGGCGAAGGCGGGUCUCUGGGCCGACACUGACGCUGAAGCGCGAAAGCUAGGGGAGCGAACAGG